AACUGAUUUCUAAAAUAUUAAGUGGAAAAUUUUUAACUCACAAGGCUUAUUUAUUUAAGAAAUAAGCUUAAAAGAUGAAGUUCUGGAGAUGGAAGGUGGUGAUGGCUGUAUAACAAGAUGAAGACAAGCCAAACAAUUUUUUCCAACAUUUCUUUUGCCUCACUGCAUGUCAAUGGAUAGGAAUCAUAAUCUGGAGUUUUCAGCAGGGAGCCUACUGGACCAGAAACCAGCUCUGGAGUCAGAUGGAAUGGACCUGAACCUUUGCUCUACCAUGUGUAACUGUGAUACAAACAAACUUCAUUUAAAUGCUUCAUGAAUCAUGCAGUCUCCUUUCAAAGAACUUCCCAGAAUUUAGAAUUAAUCAUUGCCCAAAUCAGUAGCAACACAAAUUCUCAUUCAUUGCAUU